rnacentral:lncRNA from 1 species
UCAAAACACAACCUAAGUAACUGUUUUAAAGCAGAUGGAUAAUGCAACUUUAUAUGCGACUAGGUGUCUGAUACUGUGUCUGGGCUGAUUUAUUUUAUAGAAAAAAUGGAGUACUGAAUUCUAUAUUUGGUAAAUAUUUUAAGGACAAACAGAUACCAGCAUCAGAAGUUUGAGAACUCAAAACAAACCCCCAGAAAUAUCAAUGAUAAGAUGUGAAAUAUUUAUUUUAAAAUGCAAAGUCAUACUUUUACAAGCACGUUAUCUUUGGAGUGCUGACAUAUUGCCUCUUCCAAUCGGAUGAUGAUUCACUCAAAUUCAGAAAUUAUGAACAACUACUGUAAGAAGUGCUAAUCUGCUACAAUUGUGUAUUUUAACUCACUAAACUAUAGUUUUACUGACUUUUACUAAAGGAAGAUAUAUGGCUUUGAAAAAGGCCCAGGUUAUUUCUCUUAUGAACCACAGAGGAAUUGUCUCUAUAUAAUAUACACUGUUUCAGUAUUUCAGUAGACUACUGUGGGUGAUAAUACAACCAUGGGAAGACUCGAACUUACCACUGAGGAUGAAAUGUCAGAUGUUUAGGUAAUAAUUAAAUUAAAGUAGAAGAAAGUUUCGCUUGUAAGUUAAAGUGACAUUUUAAAUGGAUUUAGUUUUUCUAAUAUUGCUUUGUCUGGACUUUCUGAAGAACCAGAUUGACUUCAGUUGGUAAAAGUCAGUUUGGGGACAGUCACAUGAAUCCAUGUUUUUUGAAGUGUGUCCAUCAGCCUACAGUGCAUGAAAGGCAUGACUCAGUCCUCCCUCAUUGUGUCUUAAACUACAAUAGAUAGUAAAUUCAGAAGUUGUUCGAAACUGUCAAGGAAAAUAAUUCAAAUUAUCAAGCACUGAUGUAUUAGAUGAUCUGGCAGACAUUAUUUGUAAUUUAUCUAUACAGACCAAGGUGUCACUAAGUUACUUUCAGCAUUGAAAAGGAGCUCAUGCUUUUCUGAACUUUCAACUGCCUAAACCGUGCAAGCCUUCCUUUUAAUACGUUCAAACUUUAGCUGGCUAUUAUUCAAAGGCGUGUCUUCGUAUCUUCUCUGACAGUGUUCAUGUAAAUUCUGCAUUCUUCCAAACUGUCAAGUUUGAACAGCAAAUGAUAGCACAGAAUGCCGAAUUACCAGAGGACAUAUUCAAAAGUUAUUGUAAUUUUAAAUUUUAUUAUUCUUUUACCGUAUUGAGCAGAGCUGAGAUUUCUCUACUGCCAAUAUCUACUGUGGUGUCAACCAUGCCAUAGAGGUCUGAGAUUAGUCAGUAUUAGUUUUGUAAUAAUAUUUUUGAAGCUAAAUUUCUCUAAAGCUGAAGUGCCAAUUAAAAUAUUUCUACUUUGCUUGUAGGAAAAAAAACCUGAAAUUUUUGAAAGAAAACUUCUCUGGUGCCUAAAAACUAACUUGGGGGAAUUUUUAGCAUUUAAAAGUUGGAUUUGUCAUUUUUAGAAGUGACUUAUGUAUGUUUUUGUUAAUAAGUCGUCCAUCCUGGAGUUUAGUGUUUGUUCAAAUAUAACAAACUAUGUAGAGUUUACUAGUACUCACAGUGUUACACUUACUGUUUAGAUAUUUUAAUGUGAAUCUAUUUUAAUUUUCUUUGUGUUUUAAUUUGCUCAUAGAAACAUCUGUAAAUGUUCUGGUCACUUAAAAGAACUCAUGUUGUAUCGACUUAAAAUCUUUAUUUAGGUUUUAUGAGAAUAUUAAAAUUGUAAGUUAACAUUCACUUUCACUCAUCUUCCCUGGAGUACAGAGUGAUUGAAUUUCUCACAAAAUUCUUGCAGCAAUUAAAGAAAUACUUUGCAAAAUAAAUGGCGAUGUCUUUAUUCCUCUCUUUAAAGACUUUAAUAAACUAGUAAGUGAAUUUAAUAAAUGAAUUAAAAAAGA